rnacentral:rRNA from 1 species
AUGGGGGUUUCUCUUGGGAGCAGAGGAGACAGGUGGUGCAUGGUUGUCGUCAGCUCGUGUCGUGAGAUGUUGGGCUAAGUCCCGCAACGAGCGCAACCCCUGUUCAUAGUAGCCAGCAGUAAGAUGGGGACUCUAUGGAGACAGCCGGAGACAAUCCGGAGGAAGGCGGGGAUGACGUCAAAUCAUCAUGCCCCUUAUGGCUUGGGCUACACACGUGCUACAAUGGUGGUAACAAAGGGAGGCGAGCCGGUGACGGUAAGCAAACCCCAGAAAAGCCAUCUCAGUUCGGAUUGCAGCCUGCAACUCGGCUGCAUGAAGCUGGAAUCGCUAGUAAUCGCAGAUCAGAAUGCUGCGGUGAAUACGUUCCCGGGUCUUGUACACACCGCCCGUCACACCAUGGGAGUUGGAAAUGCCCGAAGUCAGUGACCGAACCGAAAGGAAGGAGCUGCCGAAGGUGGAGCCGAUGACUGGGGUGAAGUCGUAACAAGGUAGCCGUAUCGGAAGGUGC